GACGAACGCUGGCGGCGUGCCUAAUACAUGCAAGUCGAACGCUGAAGGAGGAGCUUGCUUCUCCGGAUGAGUUGCGAACGGGUGAGUAACGCGUAGGUAACCUGCCUGGUAGCGGGGGAUAACUAUUGGAAACGAUAGCUAAUACCGCAUAACAGUAGAUGUUGCAUGACAUUUGCUUAAAAGGUGCAAUUGCAUCACUACCAGAUGGACCUGCGUUAUAUUAGCUAGUUGGUGAGGUAGCGGCUCACCAAGGCGACGAUACAUAGCCGACCUGAGAGGGUGAUCGGCCACACUGGGACGGAGACACGGCCCAGACUCCUACGGGAGGCAGCAGUAGGGAAUCUUCGGCAAUGGACGGAAGUCUGACCGAGCAACGCCGCGUGAGUGAAGAAGGUUUUCGGAUCGUAAAGCUCGGUUGUAAGAGAAGAACGAGUGUGAGAGUGGAAAGUUCACACUGUGACGGUAUCUUACCAGAAAGGGACGGCUAACUACGUG
rnacentral:rRNA from 1 species